GAUGAAGAACGUAGCGAAAUGCGAUAAGUAAUGUGAAUUGCAGAAUUCAGUGAAUCAUCGAAUCUUUGAACGCAUCUUGCGCUCCUUGGUAUUCCGAGGAGCAUGCCUGUUUGAGUGUCAUGAAAUUCUCAACCUUUUCAGCUUUCUUUGUUGAUCAGGCUUGGAUGUGGGAGUAUGCGGGCUUCUCAGAAGUCGGCUCUCCUGAAAUGCAUUAGCGGGACCUUUGUUGCCUGGCUUUGGUGUGAUAAUUAUCUACGCCAUUGUAGUCAAGCAGCUUAAAAUGAGGUUUCAGCUUCUAACCGUCUCCCCUGGGACAACUUUUUGACACUUUGACCUCAAAUCAGGUAGGACUACCCGCUGAACUUAAGCAUAUCCAUAAGCGGAGGA
rnacentral:misc_RNA from 1 species